GGGGGCAUAGCUCAGUGGAUAGAGCAGCGGUUUUCUAAACCGUUGGUCGAGGGUUCGAGUCCCCCUGCCCCUG
rfam:Verrucomicrobia bacterium CAG:312_58_20 Ley3_66761_scaffold_851, whole genome shotgun sequence.